UCUUCAUUUUACGCACUUUCUCAUCGGGGUCAGAGAGGCUAGAGAGUGUGCGAAAUGAAGAGA
rnacentral:pre_miRNA from 1 species